rnacentral:lncRNA from 1 species
CUGGUGGAGACAAGUCCUCACACCCUGGACUUCCCCAGAGGUGGAGAAGAGAGAAGGGUGGAGAGAGGACAGAUCGGAGGAAGAGGAGGAAGAGGAAGAGUGGAGAGGGAGAGGAGACAGAUGGGAGGGAGAGGGCCCACAGCUGGGACGCCCCGCCCACCCCACAGUUCCGUGGCCAACACUUGGAGUGGCCAGGGAGUGAGAUCUGAAGGAAAGAGUCCUCAGGACCGGCAGAGGUUCCAGAUCCGGCAGCUGACGUGCUCUGGACUUCCAGGAACUCGGAGGGCUUGGAUCACAAGGCUCCCAGUGGCCCCCGGCCAGGCUGCAGUUAGACCCGGCUGACCCUCCCAUACACCCGUGUUCUGGGAAGCACCUAGGCCUCCAAGAUUCUGGGGAAACGCAGGGAGGGAGGGAGCGUGCUCCGGCCAGUGCCUUGGGAGGGAGCAGUAGGAUCUAAGGGAGGGGAAGUCCUCCAGAGCAGAGGGCCCUGCCCAGCCAGUGGAGGAUGCCCUCCCAUCACUUCCCAGGAGGGAAACAGCCUGAAGAAUCAGAAAGAGAAACAGGAGAGACUCCGACUUUGGCAGUUGUCCAUUCACUCCCACGGGAGCAGGAGAGGAGAAGUUCUGUUUUCCAGAAAUGAAAACUGAGACCAGAGAAGAGUAGUUUCCUGGCCAGAGUAAUGCAGCGUGGGGGCCACAGAGCAAGGUAAUAGAAAUCAGGCUUAGGGACUGGGCUGGUACCUACUGAACAGGUCCAAGCAGGAGGGGGCUGGGCCUGGACCCUGGGUCUGAGGGAGGAGGCUGGUCCUGGACCCCUGGGUCUGAGGGAGGAGGCUGGUCCUGGACCCCUGGGUCUGAGGGAGGAGGCUGGGGCUUGACCCCUGGGUCUGAGGGAGGAGGCUGGUCCUGGACCCCUGGGUCUGAGGGAGGAGGCUGGUCCUGGACUCCUGGGUCUGAGGGAGGAGCCUGGGCCUGGACUCCUGGGUCUGGGGGAGGGGGCUGGGCCUGGACCCCUGGGUCUGAUGGAGGGUCCUGGGGCCUGGUCUCUUAUGUGCUAAGAAGGGGUCUGAACCCUAGGAUUCUUCUAACUUCUAACAGAAACUGUCUCUGUGGUUGGUUGCUUGUGUCCACUUGGGUUUUUCUCUGUUCUUUCCCAGUCCCCAACCCCAUACCUUCCAUUGUCCACUUUGGUCCUGAGUCACUGACCUCACAGCCAGGCCAAAGAACUUGUUUGGGAGGAAUACAACAGUUUUAUCCGUAUAAUGGCUCAAGGACAGUAUCCAGGUGGCAGGCUGGGCAGCCUGGCCCUCUGGCCCUGGGGACAGUAAAUGUAAGGGAAAGCCGGUUGCUGGGCUCACAACUCUUGACUCCAACUGUGUGGGGCCUUGUUCCUACCAACACCAAUUCUUCAACUUUCUAGACAAAAACUGGCGGUCUAAGAGUUCACUUGACUUCUGACUUAAUGACCUGGAGUGACCGCGGAACCCACAGGCGGAGGGCUCAGUUCCCUCAGGCUGUUCCUGCUCCGAUGCCCACACUCUGACUGGCUCUCAGGCUCACCCACACCCUCCUCACACCCGCUCAGGGAACUCGGGGCACUCUCUGCUGACAUUUAGCACGUGAUUACAAAGGCUCCGAGAGAACAGCCAGAUCCAGAGGUCCACGGGGCCACGCCCACGGAGGUCCCAAGUGCAGGACCCCCUCCACACACACAUCUGGCUGUAGGUAUGGGGAAGCAUUCGCCCCUCCAAAUGCUCUCUCGAACCUUGUCACUUAGGGAUUAAUGGAGGUUCCCCUACCUUAGCAUGAUCAAUUAAAUCGUUGGUCACUGGUGAUGAAUUCGAUGUCUAGCCCUGUUUCAGAAGUUGGAAAAGGUUCCAGCCGUGUAAUCGCAUGGUUGGCUCCUCUGGCAACCACCCCACGUCCCCCGAGAGCCACGUCACUAACCUAGAUUCAGUAGGGUUGAAGGGUUCAGGCUCCCUAGGAAUCACAAAGUUCGCUCUUCUCUCCCCGACAUCAGGGAAUUAUCAGACAUCAGGAGUUCUGUGCCAGAAACCAGGACCAGAGGCCAGGUAUCUCCUGCUGGUGGUUCUAGUCCGUUCUGACAACUAUACAAAACACCAUCGUCUGGGUGACUGAUAGACCACGGACUCUGGGUCUCGGAAGUCUGAGAUGGAGGCUCAGGCAGAUUUGGCGUGUGUCGGGGGCUCCCUGGGGUGGUCUGCCAUGAACAUGGCUUGCCCCUCUGAAACUCCUGUUGAAGCCCGAUUCUCAGUGUAAGGGUGUUGGGCGGUGGCGGGCCCUUUGGAAGGUGCUCAGGGUCUUAGGCGGGAUUGAGGCCUUUCUUGCCUGAGUUCUCCUGGCACAGGGCUGGAUCAGUUUCCUGGGUCGUUAUGAAGCCGGUUGCCCCUCUUGGUUUGGCACCACCCCCCUGGUCCCUUUCACUUUUCUGCUGUGAGUUGGGGCAGCAUGAAUUCCUCACGUGCAGAGCAGGCGUCAAGGUUGUGCUCUCAGCUUCACCAUCUCUGGAAUAAUGAACCAAAUAAACUUCUAUUCUUGAUAAGUUUCCUUGCCUCACGUAUUCUGUUAUAGCAACAGAAACCAGAUUCUGACUGCAUCUCCCUGGGGCCAGUCACGAGGGCACCCAUCCUCUAACACCACCACUGUGUUGGCUGGGAUUUCAGUGAAUUUUAGGGAGAUGCAAACACUUAUUGUGUUAAAGAAACUAUCUUCUCGGCAAGGAGCCAUGUAGUCCUCUCUUUCCUCAUCUGGACAAUGGGACUCUCUCAAGUGGGACUCCACAGAGCAGCCCUUAAGAGCACACUGGGUGUGAAGUGAGCUUACUAUUCCUGAGCCAGCAGCAGCUGAGCAGCUCUGAUGGACUCAGGUGGCCAUGGGGCAUCCUUUGUCCUCCCUCCCUGGCUACCCUGCCCUCAUCUGAGGAGUCAGCCAGGCUGGGGCUAGGAGCAGCCUAUACUCUGAAGUCACAUGGGCUCUAAAGCUGGUGGCCUUGGAUAAGCCGUCUCCUGGCCCUGAGCCCCCUCCCCUCCUUAGCCGCCUUCAGGACAGGGGAGCCCAUCGGCAUGUUGAUGGUGUGGGAGAAAGUGCUGGGCCUCCAUUUAACGUGGCGAGGCUCUCUGGUCUCCUGGGUGUGGGGUGAGGAGGCCCCCUACCCGGGCUCUCCGAGGAGCGCGGGGCGGAAUGUGGAACCAUGUCCUGAACAGCAGGCGGCGUAGCAUAGGUGGUGGGCCACCUGAGGGUGCGCCCCAGGCUCCAGGGGGAAGAGGCCAGCGGCUGAGGUCUGGGGGCCCCUCUGUGGUCAGCGCCUCAGGCGCUGGGAGCACAGUGUCUCACACCACAGUGAUGUCAUUGCCAGGAGCUGGGAGGUCAGGGAAGGGGAAACGGGGUUGCUGUGGUUUCCUGUCGACUGUUGGGGGUUAACAAAUGUCUCCACUUUGGACUUCAAACUGAGAUGACCGGGCGGGCAGCAAACCCGGGAAGGGCUGACUCUGGAGCUCCCUCAUCUGCCUAAAGACAGCUCCACCCCAAGGCAGCACGGUUGUCUCCUGCCCCUUUCUGCCAUUUAAACCUCUGGCAUAGAAGAGGCUGAGUGUCCAACACCACGCCUGAGCUAGGCGCGCCCUGUCCCGGCCACUGUGUCUUGCUCAGGCCCUCCUUCCCCAGUCCACCUGCCCUUCCUCUAAGCUGCCUACAGUCCCAACCUCCUGGCCCUUUGAAGGAGAGUACGCGGGAUUCUACAUCCCUGGGACUGCCCCGGGUAUGCAUUAAUAAACGUGCGUGUCUUUUCUCCUGUUAAUAUGUCUGCUGCCAGUUUAUUUCUCAUUCAAAUGCUGAACCUCUAGGGAGGGGGAAAAGGGGUUUGCUCCUUACUAUUCCCAGCAAUUGGGUAGAGGUUCUCAAGAAGGAUCCCAUCCCGGAAAAUGCCGCUCUGAUCCCGGGUGAUCUUCUUUUUCCAGACAUUGGAGGAUGUGGGGGAUGGGGAGGCUGCCCAGAAGCCCAAGGCCAGAAACAUCUCGUCGUCAUAUACCUAAGAAUUCUGCUAACUGACCCGUGGACCACCACCCCCCGGGGAUGGGCCCCUCGUGUAAGUGACCUCUCAGGCCUUUUACAUUCCCGGGGGACAUCUGCACAGAUGGCCCGCCUGCAGCUGGGUGGGACCUCCCGUUCUCACCCCUCUUCUCACC